UGAGCUACUUUCCUGUCAGCCUGCCAUAAAAUGGUUGAUCUGGAGUGAUUUUCAAAUCCUAUAUUUCAGUGAUAAUUGCCUUAUUCAUGGGUUUGGUCACACGUGACACCAGUGAGAGGCAAUAUAUAAAUUAUGUCUAAACAUCCUCCAAUAACUAGUUGCAUUUUUUUUAGAGAAAUGCUGGGUGGAUUUAGAGCACUUAAAUUUCUUCUUUACUAAUUGUUUUUCUCAGAUAGAGUUAUACCUCAAUGAUAUUGGGAAAUGACUAUGCAAAUAUGUGCUAACCCAGCCAAGGAAAUAGAAUAUGGAUACCACUUUGCACUUCCUAAAUUGAAGAUACCCAUGAAUUAGUUCUUAGUGCUUAUCAAGCAGGGAAGAAUUGGCAAAACAGAACUAUCAUGAUGGGUAAUUUAAGAUAAUCUUAGAUGUAGAGGGAAGGUCCUGGGGCCUUCACAAGGUCGAGGGGCCCCAACAUGGUCUGUCCAGAGGCAGAGUGGAAGAGAGUCCCUCACUACUCUGUUCCACAUUUUGGGAACCUGCAAGUCAGAAUUUUAAUCAACAAUCUCUGGGAACCAAUGGAGUUUACAAUCUGAUUGAGGAAACCAGACAUACAAGCUGGGCUGCCCUUGUAAACACACUGUCUCACCACCUGUUCUAGGCCCUGGGAGGAUGACUUCCAUGGACUUCAUGAUGUGUUCCCUGCUUUCUGGCUUCCUGGUGGGUUCAGCGAAGGGAAGAUUAGCAGGAGACUGAAGGACAGGAGUGAACAGAGAUUAGGACUCUCUCUUGCCACUUCUCUGCUGGGCCUCCUUCUGGUGGUGACUGCAUUCCUUUACCAAAAGCCAUAGCUCCUUCAGGUGUCCUUCUCCUAAACUACCAUUCUUCCUGGGUUGUAGUAACUCUUCCACUACUUGCUGCUGCAGGCUAAGGGAUAGUAAAAUUUUCUCUACCAUUGCUUCAUCAUUCCUUGAUGAAUUGUACUGGAUUAAACUAUAAAUUGUACUGGAUUAAUCUCUGUUCAAUAAUCCCUAUUGAGUGUGCCCUCCAUUUCCUCUAGGGAUCCUGACAGAUGCACAAAGAUAAAACUUGACAAGCCAAUGAGAGCCUAAAGGGUGGAACAGAGGAAAUUGGAGAAUGACAGAAUAGAGGCAAACUCUGAAGUUCUGGACUACUUUAGUUAUCAGCAUGGUCAUGUUCAAGGUAUGAAUUGUUUACAUAGUUCAAUUCCUUCACGGUGCUCAGAACUCUCAAUACAGCUCAAGUCAAAAGGACAAUAAAAAGCCUUUUAGGAUGAUCCAUCAGUGAAAGAUUAGGUGGUAGCAAAUAAAUUGUUUCUAAGUAACCUUUGACUAGUUCUCAAAUACAUUGAAACUGAAAAAUAUUUGCUCCCAUGUAGUAGCAAUGCAGGGUGACCCAGGAGAAAGAGGGACUUUGAAAUUCAAUGAUUUGGGUUUUAAUCUUGAUUGCACCAUUUAAAAUCUAUGUGAACUUGAGCCAGUUCCUUAACCUGGGAAUCAAUUUCUUUUUUUGGAAAAUAGCAAUUAAGUACCUAAUUUACUUGGGCUCUUGUGGGAACUAAAUGAAAUGAUGCAUUUAAAGCCUCUAAUGCAGUGUCUGGCAUGUAAUUGAACCCUAAUAAAUGCUUAGAUUGAAUAUGUUUCUGCUAUGUGGAAGACUGCAAAAAAUAUACUGGAGGAUAUGGUAGAGUUUUGGAGACAUUCAGCUACACAGGCUAGAGAACUGACUUGUGUUUACUAAUGCAUUUUAAUGGCAAUGUUUUUCCUUUGGUACAAAUUCACUCUUGGAAGUAAAUUGUUCCAUGAAAUCUUUGUUAAUGUUUCUCGAUUUGUGGCAGUUUGGCCUGAAGGGGACAGGGUAGGGGAUCUUUCUUCCUGAAAUGAAUCAGAGCCAUGGAAUUACUGGCUACUCUCAAAUUCUGAAAUGCAGUGUUGAAGAAAAUUAAACCUGAAAGCUCAAGGAAAGCAAACAGCAGAAUCACUGGUGGGAGAUUAAAGUCAAGCUAGAAGCAAAAUUCACCAAUGAAGUAACGAGGGGGGAAGCCUCCAAAACAAGGU